UACAGAGGGUGCAAGCGUUGUUCGGAAUUAUUGGGCGUAAAGAGCUCGUAGGCGGCCUGUUGCGUCCGCUGUGAAAUCCCGGGGCUCAACCCCGGGCCUGCAGUGGAUACGGGCUGGCUAGAGGCAGGCAGGGGAGAACGGAAUUCCUGGUGUAGCGGUGAAAUGCGUAGAUAUCAGGAGGAACACCUGUGGCGAAAGCGGCUCACUGGACCAUAACUGACGCUGAUGCACGAAAGCUAGGGGAGCAAACAGG
rnacentral:rRNA from 1 species